GCCCACGCGUUUCGAAAAAAAAAAGAAAAAAAAAGAAAAAAAAAAGAAAAAAAAAGAAAAAAAAAGAAAAAAAAAGAAGUAAAUAAAUAAAUAAAAUAUAACAGAAAAAUCUUGGACUUGGACCUCUCUCUUUUGAGCCCACAAAGUCACAAAAAUCAGGUUAUAAAUUCUAGACUUCCAUCUCCCAAAAAAACCCUAGGGAAAAAGAUAGUGAGAGAAGAGCUAACAGAGUUGAGAGCAACCUCCAGAGACUGAAGGGAACUCAUCUGCAAAGAAUCAAUUCCCUCUCAUAUAAACCCUCAGAUUGCUUUGCAAACCCCAACCGGGCAAUUCACUUUCAUUCGAUCUCUCCAAUCAGGUUUGCCCUAUUUCCACUACUUUAUACUUUCAACCUUUGAAUUUUGAUACCCUUUUGAUGCAUGUGUUUGACAAGAGGUUUAGGCCUCCUACACUUGGUUGCUUUUUG
rnacentral:lncRNA from 1 species